GGUAGAAAAUAAAGGUGAUUUUUGGAUACAUGGACAGGAAAAAAAAAAAAAAAGAGGCAGAACAACGGUCCAUAAAUGAGUUUCUUCAAUGGCAAGAUUGUCACUGAAAGAAUGCUGUGCAUUUUGUCCUGCCAAGCCGAAUCUUACCAUGCAAGUCUCUAUAUCACAAAGGAUUUUGGUUGUCUUCGGAGACUAUACACCGUUCCUUUGGCCUAGAAGUACUCUUCUUCCUAGUCAACUCCUGUUGGUCCUCCCAGUCUCCCAAGACCAG